GGCUCCACAGUGUAGUGGUUAGCACGUCUGCUUUACACAUAGAAGGUCCUGGGUUUGCGCCCCAGGUGGAGCCA
rnacentral:tRNA from 1 species